rnacentral:lncRNA from 1 species
UUAAAUAACACUGCCAAUUAACGAUAACUCAGUCAUUAUGAAAUUAAAACUCAGCCGUAAUUGUAGAGAACCCAGCCAUAAACAAAAAUCAGCCAUAAUUAAAAGACAACCCAGCCAUAAAGUAAAACAUAACCCAGCCGUAAUAAUGUCAUAGCAAAGUACAUUAAAAAAAGAUAAGAUUAUAUACAAUACAUCUUCACCACUCCCUUGUGUCCCUAAUCACGCUCAUCGGUUCAAACUCACGGAAGAAGAGCCCCACCUCUUUGAUCCAGAAACAGCGGUUACACAUUUUGUCACCCUUACUGUUUUCAGUGAACCACAAGACCCAAUCUCGCUCUAAAACAGGAACACAUUGGCAACUAUAGAACGAAGGAACAAUGGUUGAAAUGAACUCGUCCCUCUUUGCCCGAAACUCGUCACCGUGAAGAGAACCCCAUGCCCAUUUUAGAGAUCGAAC